GAUUACCCGCUGAACUUAAGCAUAUCACUAAGCGGAGGAAGAGAAACUAACAAGGAUUCCCUGAGUAACGGCGAGUGAACAGGGAAAAGCCCAGCACCGAAGCCUGUGGUCAUUUGGUCACUAGGCAAUGUGGUGUUCAGGUCGUUCCAUAGAGGUGCUGCUCCACCCUAAGUCCAGCAAUGAGUACGGUGGUACGGACAUGGCCCACAGAGGGUGAGAGGCCCGUGGGGGUGGAGAUCAGGCAGGCCAGUGCCUCUCUGGGUAGACCUUGGAGUCGGGGUUGUUUGUGAAUGCAGC
rnacentral:rRNA from 1 species